rnacentral:lncRNA from 1 species
UGUUUUUGUUUUAAUACAGGCAGAAAUCAAAUGUUCAGGCAUCAGAGAAGUGAAAUUGACUCAGGGCAUCUGCCUGGAGCAAAAUAAGACCUCCAGCUGGCGGAGUUUAAGAAGGACAGGGGAGAGGGCCUGGCCCGAGUGCUGUGUGGGGAGGAGCAGGCUGAUGCUGAUGCUGGGGCCCAGGUAUGCUCCCUGCUCCUUGCCCAGUCUGAGGUGAGGCCUCAGUGUCUACUGCUGGUCUUGGCCAACAGAACAAAAUUUCCAGCAAACUCCAACUUAUGAAAAAGCACCAAUCUGACCUGAAAAACUGGGGAUCCUAGAUUUCACUGAGCAAGAUGUUGCAAGCCACCAGAGCUAUUCCCAAAAGACCCUGAUUGCACUGGUCACCUCGGGAGCCCUGCUGGCUGUCUUGGGCAUCACUGGCUAUUUCCUGAUGAAUCGCCGCAGCUGGAGCCCCACAGGAGAAAGGCUGGCGAAGACCCUUAUUACACGGAAAACGGUGGAGGCCAGGGCUAUAGCUCAGGACCUGGGACCUCCCCUGAGGCUCAGGGAAAGGCCAGUGUGAACCGAGGGGCU